AACACUGAUACAGAUGUGUAUGGUUACCAA
rnacentral:piRNA from 1 species